ensembl:snoRNA SNORD58 Small nucleolar RNA SNORD58
UGGCAAUGAUGACUAUCUUAGGACACCUUUGGAAUCAAACAUGAAACCAACCUUAAUUCUGAGCCAC